GUUAGGAAGGAGCCGGAGGUGGAGGACUGGGGCCGAGGGCGGCUCAGCAGGAAUUCUGGCCCUUGCUCCUGCCCGCAGGUCACCGGCCUCCAUGUCUGUGUCUAGACUCCAGCAGGCGGUUCUGAUGAAGCCACGCGCGGUGAAGAUCUGAAAGCAAGGACCCCCCCCCCCCCGCCGCCGCCACCACCAGCACCAGCACCACCGCCGACGUUUAGUGUGUGUUGCAAAACGUACAGUAUCCUGCGUAUUUGGAACUGGCCUUGCGGACCGUGUUCUUGUCUUUCCCCACUCCCCCGCCCCCAUCCGUGGGCGUGGAUGGCUUUGAAAAGCGUCCCUGCUGAGUGGCUUCAGUGAUGCUAAGUGGCUUAGCUGGAUUGGCAAGAAGCAUUGGCAGGAGGCGUUACCAACAGUAGAUCCUGGAGGGCUGCCAUCACUCCUACGUUAGUUGGCACUGAGGAAUACUGGCCUCAGCUGGAGAAGCUAGGAGGAUAGAGAGAAAAGAUUUCUGUGCUCCUCUCCAACAGGAAGAAAAGAAUUCCUGUGGAAAAAGAAACCUCUAAUUUUUUUUUUCAUGCAAGAAAAAUUAUUUUCCAGAACCCACUCUCCUAGUCCCAAGUAUUUGGUCAGAGUUCAGUCACCACCACAUCACCCAGGGAGGCUCUGAAAAUGAG